AUCAACGUGGACACUGAAAAGAAGAAAGAGGAUCAGAAAGCAAGUCUCUCUGAAAAAGGAACAAAGUGUUGUGGAGCUUUCAGUCUAUCACCCCACAUGAUAAAUAUUCCCAAGUUGUUGUGCCGCAAAGCAUGCACACAAAGAGUUUCAAGACCUGCAUACUCACAGCAAAACAGUAGCCACAGAAGACUGUAGUUAUUUUACAGCGUAUUUUACAAGUAAGC